rnacentral:rRNA from 1 species
AGGACGAACGCUGGCGGCGUGCCUAACACAUGCAAGUCGAGCGAGGAGAUUCCUCGGGAUGAUCCUAGCGGCGGACGGGUGAGUAACACGUGGGCAACCUGCCUCAUAGAGAGGAAUAGCCUUCCGAAAGGGAGAUUAAUACCUCAUAACAUUGCAGUUUCGCAUGAAACAGCAAUUAAAGGAGCAAUCCGCUAUGAGAUGGGCCCGCGGCGCAUUAGCUAGUUGGUGAGGUAACGGCUCACCAAGGCGACGAUGCGUAGCCGACCUGAGAGGGUGAUCGGCCACAUUGGGACUGAGACACGGCCCAGACUCCUACGGGAGGCAGCAGUGGGGAAUAUUGCACAAUGGGGGAAACCCUGAUGCAGCCAACGCCGCGUGAGUGAUGACGGCCUUCGGGUUGUAAAGCUCUGUCUUCAGGGACGAUAAUGACGGUACCUGAGGAGGAAGCCACGGCUAACUACGUGCCAGCAGCAGC